rnacentral:rRNA from 1 species
UACGGAGGGUGCAAGCGUUAUCCGGAAUCACUGGGUUUAAAGGGAGCGCAGGCGGUUGGAUAAGUCAGAGGUGAAAGCUCUAUGCUCAACAUAGAAAUUGCCUCUGAUACUGUUUAACUAGAAUUAAGUUGAGGUAGGCGGAAUGCAACAUGUAGCGGUGAAAUGCAUAGAUAUGUUGUAGAACACCAAUUGCGAAGGCAGCUUACUAAGCUUAUAUUGACGCUGAGGCUCGAAAGCGUGGGUAGCGAACAGG